GAGUCUAGCGAAAACGAAUCGGAAAAUAUGGCGUCAGUCUAUUGUCGAAAAUCGCGGUGAAAUACGCGUUACACCGAAAUCUGUGCAUAAUUACGUGAAAUUAAUAUUAAAAUUUAUACUUUAUCUAUUUCGAGUGCAAUUAUUCGAUUAAUGUGCGUGUGUUUAAUCAUUUAUUAAGUAGAAAUAUAUCAAAAUUGAAUAGUUUUUGAACUCUUUUAUCGUUUCACGUUGCUCUUCAAUUUGAUGUACGUAGCUAUAGAUAAUUUAUAUACAAAUUGUGUGUCCAAAUUUAAUUCAAUUGUUGUUUUAUUUUAAUAUUCUUUUAAUUUUAUACAUUUCUUUCACAGUUUUAAUUUUUAUUUGUGUAAAUUAUCGUUUGAUCAUUCGAAUGACUUCCAAGACGUAAUAGGUUAUGCAUGGUUAUGCAUGGUUAUGUAUGGUUAUGCAUGAUUAUGCAUGAUUAUGCAUGAUAAUUGCGAAAUAAUCCAUAAUUUUGUUAAAAAUAUCGUAAGAUUUUAUUUAUUUUAACAAAAAAUAUAAUUAUAAAAUCAGUGAUAAUUAUAAUAAAGAAUAGAUUUUUAUAAUAUUUUAUUUUAAAUAUAUAUACUUACACGUGUUCUCUAUUGCGUCUGUUUUAUUCGAAUGUUCAAUAUAUUCCGUAUUUGUUUUGAUGACACACUCGAGUCGAUAAUAUUUCUUAGAAUAAUUCUUACUAAGAAAUUAGAAAUUCGUUUGUAUACAUUCGACAUACGACGAUUAAGCCGUCGACAAAUUUUGUUUUGAAUUUGUAAUCGCUAAGGUGAAAUCGUUGUACGAGGCGUCACUUUAUCGUUGAAACUCGUAGCGUUCGGACUACUUUCGAUACAUGAGUAAUCUAUUGCGUAUUACGUAUUAUUUUAAUCUAUAGAUAUUUUUUACUUUUUCUAAAUAUAUUAUUAUUUAAUUAAUACGCGUUUAUUGAAUAAUUUUAUCGAAUAUAUUUUGUGGAAUAUUUAAUUUUUUCUUCAUCGAUUUAUUUUACGUUUUUUUAGGUUAGAAUUGUUCGUAGUUCGUAUCAUGAGUUUCUAAACUGAAAUUUUUGCGUAAUUAUUUUUUCGCUUUAACACAUUCGGUUCUAAUUUUAUGUUUAAAUAUAUUCUAUAUAUUUAUUUCAUUAUUUUUCGCGAAAAUUAAUAGCUAAUUAAUGAAAUAACUUAUCAAUAUGGACGCCACAACGGUCAAUCAGAUAAUUUACUUUUAAAAAUUUUUGUGAUCGCGUGCAAUGCGAUUAGUAGAGUCAGUGUUUGCUUCGUAACAGUAUUUUUUAAAACGUUUUUAAUGUAUAAUUGUUCUAUAAUUAAAAUUAAUUAUACGUUUUUUGUAAAAUUCGAGUCAGUGUUCGUCGAUUAGAUAUAACUUGAACAAUUGUGUCGAUAGUUUUUUAUUUUUUCUUAAAUAUUCGUUUUCGAUACAUAUUAGAAUCAGUGUUUCAAGAAAAUGAAGCGAUCGUCUGCUCGAAAAGAUAUUUCCCAAUCUCUUCACCUGUGUUUACAUCUUGAUUUCUUCUAGCAGCAUGACGAUGUCCUUCGCAUCUAAUGUUCCAGACUGUUCCUUCGUUGCUCCCCGAACGGCCCUUACACGAAGUACAAAAAGUAUGGUACCGCGACCGGUGAACAGCACCUUACUAACGUCAACGUUGCCUCCGUUCCGUGAAUCGGCCGUUCCCGGCUAACGUCCUUGGGCUUCUAAUAUUUACACGCUCGCAGCGCGAGCCACCGCCACGAUAUUCCCAACGUUGACGAUAAAGCCAACGGCGUAAAGAACUGAAUUGAAUUUUGCGCGCAAACAGGAUCAGUCGCCUUAGAGUGUAAAUAAUGGCGGGGCAGAGCGUUGUGACGCGAGCUUUCCCCGAGAUACUGCCCCUUUUCAUGGAACCAGUAAUUCGACGUUAUCUGCGGAUGUCCCUUUAUGAGCGACGUCGCGCGUUGCGGUUUAACUUCCAUUCAUGUAAUUCGAUCGUUUCGAGAAGCCCGAGUGUAUAUAAUAUAGCCUGUGCAUCGACGUGGAUAAAAAUAAAAAAAAGAAAAAAGAAAAAAAAGAAGGAAAAAGGAAGAGAGAAGAAAGGGAAAAAAAGAAAGAAAGAAAGAGAGAAGUACAAGAAGCGUUUGGAGAAGGCUUUGACGACACGGAGUAAAAAAGGGCGUAAAAACUUACGAGCACGAUAGUUGUUUUUCACCUAUACGACUGAGGCAAAAGAAAAAGAAAAAAAAAGGAUACGGUGUAAGAGGUCGGAAUAAAAGACGCGUGAAAGAAACAAGACACGCAAGUGCUGCAAAUCGAGAGAAAGAAACGUAGUGUAAAAAAAAAAAUGUUGCGGUGCUGCUCGCCGCCGGUUAGCCCCUGGGCUUGAAAGUCUAUUGUCCUCGGUUCAUUACACAUUUUCAGAAGUGUCCUGGCGAAGGACGGUGGGUGGAGGAGGGACCAGUCGCUGACCAGAUGCAUGACAACGAAACUGAAAUAUCAGAUUUCGCGCUAACGUUGCGUCUUUUUACUUACCGUAGUGCGUUUUUCGCGAGUAAGGGCCACCAAAGGCCCUUAUGGUGGAAAAAAGAACAGCGGGGCGAAAAAAAAAAAAGGGGGAAAACAUUUUACAAAACGUUGUUCUCCGUUACCAGGAAAGCAGGCAGAGGGGGAGAGAUUGGGAUUUUCAGCUCCGAUAAUAGUCACUUUUGGGGUAACCGAGCGAAUCCAUUGAAUCACCGAUCGCCAAUUUCUCGUAGUCAUCGAUGACGCGUUUAGAGGAGUCAUAAGGAAGAGCUAGACAACUUGUAACAAUACCAGCCUCCAAAAUAAUGUGCUCGAAGACGCAAACACGUCAAUUAAGUUGAUUUCACAGUUACGAAACGAGACAUGGGAAAAAGGACGAGAAGAAGAAACAUUUUUAACGAUAAGCUUUGCCACCGCCUGCCACUAUACUUAGGUCGGGGUCCUCCUCCGCCUGGGAAACUUUUAAAGAGGCCGAAGAAGAAUAUUCGCAAAUGGAGUACUCAAGUUGCAGUUUGCGGUCAGUACGCUCAUAUUAUGCAGCCGUGAUCUUUGUAGAUUACAAACGAAAGUCUUUUCUCUUAGUGGCGUUCCGGUGAUGUUAAACUUUUGUGGGCCAGCGGCCGUCCAUUACGGUGAUAACAUUGCAGCCAUCAAGCUUACCACACUGCGCUUACUCCUCCCCCCAUCUUUCGAACAAGAAGAAGAAGAAGAAGAAACUGCUUUUAAUCUUCAAAGAGGAUUCUUUUAACCCUUUGUACAUAAGUAGAUUUCUCCCGUUCCUUGCGAAACGAAAUUUAUCAUAAUCCCUUGGCGUUUCUUAAACUUAAGUAAAUACGAAUCUUUACGAAUAUUGUAUAUACGAAUAUCCAUAAUUCCACGAAAUGAAUGAAGGGUAUGAUAAUUUGGCUUUGGAAAGAAGACACGAUAAUUCUACGAAACGAAUAAAGAAUUAUCGAAAGAGUAGAAGGUAAGUGAAAUUUCGGAAAAAAUUUACCACCUUGUCAAUUUUCCAGAAACUAAUUCUAUCUAUAACUAUUUCUAAAUCCUUGUACCUCCCGUACUCGAAUAACUCUUGUAUAAUACUCGAUAAAUAAUGUAAAAUUUUAAGUACGAGGAAUAAAUAGGUGGAAUAAGUCAGGUAGCGGAGAAACUUUCGAGCGAAAACGGUAAACAAGACGGAGAAGAAAACCGUGGCUAAUACCCACGAUUCGAUCGUAAAGCGAAGGGAAAGGCUUUCGCCCUGGAACGUAGUCGCCCGGUAGUCACCUGUAAUCUGCCCGUAAACGGUUUAAACUACGCUAAUUCUCCUCCACCUCGGGAAAACAUCUCCCCAGACCAAGCCUCUUAGGAGGAAACGCUCGUUAGGCUUGCCUUGUAAGCGGCCGGUAUACCUGCGUGCCGUGUUUCACCUCGAGAUAUCCCGCGAGAACACGUGAGAAUCGAAAGUAUCGGAAAGAAAAACGGACCGUUUCAAACCGGGUGAUGCGCGUAACGUUUGCGCGAGCACAGUGCUGGCGGCGGUGGUGGUGGGGGAAGCGGCGGUUCGAACGCGCGAUUCUAAUACCCGAUUAUAGCCGCGUUUAACACGAGCGUCUUCCGUUUCGACAACGCAACGCGGAUAGAAACGCGGCGGUUUCGUCGUUAAGGGAACGAACGGGACGAAUCGGCCGCUCGCUCGCGUGUGUUUAAUCGGAUCGUCCGUAUCAAUCGGCCUCGCGUGAAUACCACUACUGCUAUUACUGGCAUCACUGCAGGUCCAACUGCGGCUAAUGAUAUCGUAGGGACGAAGGAUUUCGCGUUUGUGUGUCUGCAGGUAUAUAUAUGUGUGUACUGCAUCAGAGGGGUGAUAUUAGGAGGGAGGGAAGGGGCUCGUUAUGGUCGGUUUUGGGGCAGGAUAUGGUUUGGGAGUAGUGUAUUUAAGAGCCGUCGUACGUGUUUAAUAUACGGGAAGCGUUGGAUACACGUUAUCGUCACGAUCGACGUGUAGUUGUAACCUUGAUAAUUUGCAGAGAGAUCUUCUCUUUUGAAUGGUAAAUAAAUCUUGCGCGUGUGUGUAA